rnacentral:lncRNA from 1 species
UCUUCAAAUUGAAUCUUCUCUUCAAACCUUCGCAAUCACCUCUUCAAGACUCCAUUUGACUUUACGAAAUCCGCCAACCUAGAAAAUCCUUAACAAUCUCCACCUUUGGCGAUUUCGUGACAAAACAUACUACAAAGUUCGUACACAACGCAGAAACAAUAAAAAGAAGAUCAUCGCAAUCACCAAACGACAAUCUCCUGUAUGAUCGAUCCAAUAAAAGAAAAAUUACACUUUUCACACAUUCCUAAUACAAACUCUAUGACUUAAACAUGGAGUCUUGAAGUCUUGAAUAUUCCUGCAAAAAUAUUCUUAAAAUACAAUCAAGAUUCAAGAAUACUUAUCAUAUCAAAAGAUCAAACAUAAACGUCAAAAUACCAACCAAAAUAUCAAGACACCUCAACAGUCAC